rnacentral:rRNA from 1 species
AGUGCACGCUGGCGGCGUGCCUAAUACAUGCAAGUCGAACGGAGUGGCGCACUGGUGAGUAAUAUAUAGCUAAUCUGCCCCUUGCUGGAGGACAACAGUUAGAAAUGACUGCUAAUACUCCAUAGAAAGGGAUGAGACUAUAUCGUAUCAGCUCGUCGGUGGGGUAACGGCCUACCGAGGCUAUGACGAGUAACUGGUCUGAGAGGAUGGUCAGUCACAUGGGAAGUGAGACACUGUCCAAACUCCUACGGGAGGGAGCAGUAGGGAAUAUUGCGCAAUGGGGGAAACCCUGACGGAUCAACGCCGCGUGGAGGAUGAAACUUUUCGGAGCGUGAACUCCUUUUGGUAGGGAAGAGGUACCUAACGAAUAAGCACCGGCUAAGUCCGUGCCAGAAGCAGCGGUAAUUC